UCCCCCCAUUACCCCGUUUGCAUGGUUCCCUCCAGUGCGGCCGGGACCCCAGCUCACACCCACCUGGUCCUGGGUGCGGGGGGUUGCUGAGGGUAAGGGAGCAAAUCAGUGCGUCCAUCCCCCACGGCCGGCGGCGCUGUGUCUUCCCUGCGCCCAGCACACACCGGCUCCAGUCUCCGAUCAGCUGGCGGCGUCGUGACGCACAAGCCGCGAUUGCACCGCCCAGAGCCAAUCACCGCCCACUGUUGGGCAGCGUGACCACACCCACUUGGGGGCGCCAGCGCUUCGCCCAGGUCCCGCCUCUCCGGCCGUCUUAGCUCUGAUUGGCAAGGAGGCCACCCCCUUGCCCGGCGGAGCUGCGCUAGGCCACGCCCACCAGCUCAGGAGCUCGCCAAUACGUGAAAGGGUGUGGCUGAGCCCUCCGCCUAAGGCCUCUUGCUUUGAAGAGCGCUACGUCAAACCAGAGUCCUAAAGAGCAGAAGGAAGUGAAGGCGCGUGUGUUUGCAGUGCACACUGGUCAAUGUAGUUCUCGGUCUGACACCUCGUUCCCAGAAUCCAGCGCGCUCUGUGAGUUGGCAUUUUUAAACUCAUUUCUGAAUCCAUCCCAGCGAAGUCCUUAAAGGGCUACAGCCCCUCCUUUUGGGAGCCGUGAGUGCUGCUUUCACACUACCCCAAAACGGAUCCGCUGGCUUCUGCGCACUGAGGCGAUGGCUCUCUAGAGAAAGCUGGCGCAGGCGAAGCAGCAGGAGCGGGAAGAACUGACGGUGGCAAUCAGCUUCCAGGGCAGCAGGCUCUUCCAUUGGAUGAGGACUCCUAGUAUGUCUCGUCCCAGUCGUAGACAGAUUCUCUCAAGCAGCAACCUCCUAACAAGAUUCAUAGUACAGUCUUCACCUGAGGGUAGAAGCAAGACUUGUGGACGGAAACUAGGGGAUGGGUCAUGCCAAAGUGUCAACUGAGAUUCUGAGCUUGGAACAAGAGUUAUUUCCUGUCAGCUCAGACCCACCUUCUCAGGUCUAGAAGGGGGCCUGUAUUGGGGAAGUCCAGAACCUUGGCUGGCUGGGUGUGUGAGUGCUCCAGGAAUGGAUGCUGGGGAAGGUCCAGUGAAGCAGCAAACCAAACCAGGAGAAGAGAAAUGUCUGUGGAAAGCAAGCCUCCUGGGGUCAGAACCCUGCUCCCCAGGCCAUUUGUCCCCCUACUCCCUCCUCAUGUUGGCUUAUUUCUUCCCAGCCAGGGACCACCUAAGUGGACUCCCUUGGCUUAGCCCAUUCGGUCCACUUCUAACUUAGAUGCCACCAGGCUCUUUAUUUACACUCACCCUCCACAGUAAGGGUGCUAAUGUGGAGCUUCCCAGGGGCUACAGGUGGAAUGCGCUGAUCCCAGGAACCAAGGGCUUUGACUGGAAAGUCCUGCAGGAAGGUAAUAUUUUACCCCAGCCCUGAGCUGGGAGUCAGGGUCAUUACAGGACAAGCUUGUGUGAAGUCCCAGGACUGACUUGGCAAGGCUGGGAGAAACUGAGCAGGGCCUUGGCCAAGCUUGGAAGAAAGAGAAACCUCACCAGCUGCCCCCAUUAUCCAUUAUCCUUAUCUUGGAAUUCCCAUCCCCUUCUUACCCAAGGCUUUUGGGGUAGGCCCAUCGCCAUUUUGUUUGGCUAACUCCCCCUCCUUUCACCCUCCCACCCCACAGGGCAAAAGUGGCUUUGAGUCCAGGGUUUCUCAAUCUCAGCACUAUUGACAUUUGGCUGAUAAUUUCUUAUUGUGGGGGGUGUUAUUUGUAGAAUAUUUAGCAGCAUCCCUGGCCCACUAGAUGAAAUUAGUAACACCCCUACCCUGAAGUUAUGACAACCACCAGUGUCCCUGGACAUUACCAGAUGUCCCUUGGGGGCCAAAAUCUCCCCCAGCUGAGAACUACUGAAUUAGACAAACUUGGAUUCAAAUUCCAGAUCUUACCAGCUGUGAACUUGAAGAUACUCAACAUCUCUUCACCUCCAUUUCCUCAUCUGCAAAAGAGUGAAUAAUAAAUUCGCGGUUUAUUAUAGGGAUUAAAAAAGGAUUAUAUUUGAAAACACCUAGCACAGUGUCUGGCCCACUGGCCCACAGUCGGUGCACUAAAUGUUAGCUUCCUUCACUUUGCUCUCUGCCAGAUCAGCAAGAACUAACCUCACUCAGCAUGGGCUGACUGCCUGGGCAGCUGCAGCUUCCCUCCCUGACUAUCCAAGCCAGGAAACUCAAUAUUGAGGUUGGCGAAAGGGAGUGGUUAAUUUGGUCCCGGAUUCCCCAAAGCCCAAUGGUGGUUGGGUUGGGAUUCUGGGGGAAAUUUGGGAAUUGAGCUGUUACAGAGUAUUAUACCAAGAUGUGGCCUACAUUAGAUUUAACUGGGGUGCUUGUUAAAAAUUCAGAUUCCUGGGACCCCUGCGUGGCCAGCAGUUGAGCAUCUGCCUUUGGCUCAGGGCGUGAUCCUGGGUCCAGGGAUCCAGUCCCGCAUUGAGCUCCCUGCGAGGAGCCUGUGUCUCCCUCUGCCUGUGUCUCUGCCUCUCUGUGUGUGUGUCUCUCACAAAUAAAUAAACAAAAUCUUAAAAAAAAAAAAAAAAAUCAGAUUCCUGGGUCUCCCCCCAGACUACUGAAUCAAAAGUACAUCAUAAAGUUUGGCCUUGGGGAUGCCUGGGUGGCUCAGCAGUUGAGCGUCUGCCUUCGGCUCAGGGAGUGAUCCCUGGAUCCUGGAUACAGUGCCACAUCAGGCUCCCUGCAUGGAACCUGUUUCUCCCUCUGUCUGUG